CUGGAAGCCAGACAUCAUAGUCUCCGCCCGGCUGAGGGCGCGAGGAGUGGGGGGAGUCUCCCCCGUGCUCUCUGCGCCUCUCCCGGCAACCCUUGGCUUGGAGAUGUGGCUGCAGGUCUGCUCCCGUCUUGGCUCUCGCUUCCCUCUGUGUGUCCCUCUGUGCCCUCUUCUUAUGAGGAUCUAGGUCCAGUAUGACCUCAUCUUUGUGUGGGGGUGUGUGUGUGCACGCUUUUUAGGGCCAUACCCACGGCAUAUGGAAGUUCCCAGGCUAGGGGUCGAAUCGGAGCUACAGCCUACAUCACAGCCACAGUAACGCCAGAUUCCAGCCUCAUCCAGGACCUACACCACCACUCAUGGCAACGCCGGAUCCUUAACCCACUGAGUGAGGUCAGGGAUCAAACUCGAGUCCUCAUGGAUACUGGUCGGGCUCCUUACCACUGAGCCACAACGGCAACUCCCCAGCAUGACCUCAUCUUAAUAGACCCGAUUCCAUCUGCAAAGACCCUAUUUCCAGAUACGGUCGCAUUCUGAGGUUGUGGAUGGAUGUGAAUUUGAGGGGGACACGUCGCUUGGGACACUUGCAGGAAUCCAGGUGGUCACCUGCCUGUGAGCUGCAAGGACCUUGGAGGUAUGAACAGACGUUUGGAGCCGCUGAUUUUCUCCCCUUUGCUUUGGCCCUGGCAGAGCUGAUGGAGCAAAGACACAGGAGGAAGCAGGGGUGCAACGCUGCCCCAGUGCCCUGGCUUCCCUCUGGAGUCUCAGACCCUCGGUUCUGGCGGCCUCAGUGGCUGUUGGACGGCUUUACACUGUUGCUGUGUUUGUGUUUGGUGUGGGUGCUUUCUUCAGCUCUUACGGUUGUUCUUGGAAGGGCGCUGGUCUUUUCCAAGGUCCGCUCCUGGCUGGGAGCAGCAUCGGCCGACGUCUUCUGUAUCUUUGCCGUCUGUCCUGCCUCUCAGCGGACUUACUUUCAGUAGGAGGUCAAGUCCAUCAUUAACUUUCUGUGUUACCUAUCCUGCAAGCAAUUUCAGGACGAUUUCAAAUCUACUCUCUCUGGCAAAUAACCCUGGAAACUUCAAAAGCUCUUCCAUAGUAUUCCACGGUUGGACACGCCCUCGUCUCACAACCAAUCAGUGAAGUCCUUGGCGAAGACAUUGCAUCUUCAUUUUGAAUACGGAUAAAUUACGAUGCCCAGAAUCAAAUCAUUGUCCCAGGGCCUCUGUUACUCAGCGAAAUCCACACACAUGCUUCCAAACUCCACUCCACGCGCCUUUUACUAUAAGAAGAACUCUUCAGUGACAACAUCAGACGGCAACAUGAGGGCUAGACGUUUCCACAGCUCUCAGUAUAGGCAGGUUCGAUGUGAAGUCAGUAAUUCACACAUGCUGCUCCUGGAGCAUUCGAUGUCUGUGCGUCCACCUGGCUUAGGAAGCUCAUAACAAGUUAAAUACUAUGAGUCCAUUUGGUUAACUUUCAGGAGACGGGGCUUCCAUUGGGAAUGAGAAUUUGUUCCUUUUCGUAAUUAAAUUGAUUUUUGAGCACUUUUCUCAUUUAGGGUCUAGGUUACCCAGUGGCUCCUGGGCUAACGAGGCUAUUGUUUUUUGCAAUAUUUGUGAAGUUAAUCACGGGGAAUCACAAGGCAGUCGUUUAACCUUUCCGCCUCAGUUACUCAGUUUGCUAAACAAAGGAUAACUAGGUGUUUAUCAGAAAGGGAGCCAGAGAGGGAAGGAGGGAGGGAAAUAAACCUAACAUUCAAUUUUAUCAGAAUAUGUGAACCUAUGUUAAAUAUAAUAGAACGCUCUUUAUACGCGUCUAAUGUUAAGAUGUGAGCACCUCCUAGGAACACCAUUGUGUUAAAAAUGCUGUGUGCUUGUUACAUGAUGGAAUUUAAAGAAGGGAAUAAAAGGUCUUUGAUAUUUA
rnacentral:lncRNA from 1 species